AUGUUAUAAGAGAUUUAGCAAGAGCAAUGACAGGGCAGAAGAGAGAAUUCCGGAACUCUGAAGAGGACACAGGCAGUUUCUUCUCAGGAGGAGACAGGGCAGUUGCUGGAAUUACUCUCUGGAGUAGGACUGUGUGAUCUUCCUGUUCAAGCAAGUUCAUCUUCUUGGAAGUGGUAGAGAUUGGUUAACACUCCACAAGUGGACUGUAUGAGUUAAACCGUGACUCCCCUUCCUGUUCUUGUGUGGUCCUGCUGCUGCUGUGAUCUCUACUAGGACUCCUACCAGACUCAAGAGGACACAGCUGAUUCUCCAAAACGGAUCAUUUAUAUCUUUUAUCAUUUUUGCCAAUGUGCUAGACAUAAAGGGUAACCUUCAGACUUUUGAGGUGCUGAAUGUCUCAGAAACUGUAGCUGUCACCUAUUGUGAGGGUCUAUGGAAUGUAACUCCUGUGAUAGAAACAAUAUAUCAUUUUAAAUUAUAAAAGAUAAAGUCCAAGAGAGAAAAAUUCAUGACACCUACCAGUAAGCAUUCAAAAAUCUUCUCUUCAUUAAUUAAUAGCAGAUGGGUGGAACAGUGGCAUCUCAUUGACUACAUCAUUGUACGUCCGUGAGACAUCCAGGAUGUAAAGAUCACCAGAGCCAUGAGAGGAGCUGAAUGCUGGACAGA
rnacentral:lncRNA from 1 species